CUCUUUAUUUGUUUUUACUUUUCAUUAGAGGUUGUCUGAUCACAACAGAAAACUUCUAAACAUAUGGUGACUGAGUGAUCUAAGAUAAAAAAAACACUGGACCAAAUUGUUGGACAUUAGCCAUUUUAGUUUAUAUCUGAGUACUGAGAUUCAAAUUAAUGCAUCAUUUAGUUAAUGUUGAUAUUGCCUUUGAUAGGAAUUUUUCUUUUGACUUCUUAUUUCUAAAUCAUCUGUCUCUCUUAUCAUAAAUUAGAUUCAGAAACAAAGAAGGUAAGAAUUAUAAGACUGCAGAUUUAAAGUCAGGCUCAGAUCUCUUUUAUUAUCAUGAAAAGUGAUCUAUGCUUCCUUUCUUUAUAAUGACCUACAAGGGCUUGGUACACUGCUGCUAUAGUUAGGAAAUUCAGAUACCAGUACAGGAGUAAAAAGUUUGAGUAUUUAACCACUCUCUCUGUAACAAAAAGUAUAUUGUCAUUUUACUCAAAUCAGGAGCAUAAUUAAUAGUGAACGUUUCUGUUGGACCUUAAAUUAAUACCGUUGCUAUCACUAUUUUGAAGUUGUUUCCAUUCAUAGCAAACUUUAUGUUCAUCUUUACUUGAAAAAGGAAAAAAACUUAUGUUUUUUGAUCAGGGAUGCUGCCUUCAUCUUAAGGCUAGGGAGAAUAUUUUUUUUUGUAAGUUGAUGCCCAUUUGUUAAAUUUGAGUGGCAAUUUUUUUUUCCUUUUAAGUAAAGGUAAAAGCAGAAAACUGUUUUUGUUUUAUUUUGGUUUCACUUUUUAAAAAAAAUACACAUUUUAAAAUGCAGAAUUCAAGGAGGCAAUCAGUCUUGGGGCACUGUAGUGAGAGCCAUUCUGUCUAAAUAUUUUAACUAAUGGAAUAGAUUUUUGAGAUCCAUUGUCAUUAAUGUGUGAAGGAUAUACUACAAUCUAAACAACAGUUUUAACAGGUUCAUUUUGUUAUAAGUGCCCACUUUGUUAUCAUGUAUAUAACCCAAUUCCAGAUGUGGAUAAUGUGAUUAAUGAUUCAGCAAGACACUGAUAAUAAUUCAUGAGAUCAGAUUUACCCUCAAAGAUCUCUCCUUAAAUCUUUGAAAUGCAACUAAAAGCCAAUUUGUUUCAAGUUUUUCCUUCUGCAAGACACUUGGAAAUUUGCUAUGGCACACUUUAAAAAUUUCAAGAUGGGAUAGGACAAAGAACUAGUAGGGGUGAAAAAGUGAGGGAUGGAGUGAAAAGGAAACAGUUUCAUUUUUUUUCCCUCAUCUCUGCUCAGUUCAUUUAGAUGAAGAAACUUCUAUGAUAUACUAAGAAGGAGGAUAGGAGGCUUUCUGAUACAGAAGCCACCACACAUUUCUCAAAGAUGUUAGAAUUUACAUUGUUUAGAUCAAAAUAAGCAUUAAUUGUUCAUCAUCCAAUUCCUCUUAGUUUCUCAAAAACCUUGACCCAUACUUCUGAAACUUCUGCUUUGAAUUUCCUUGAGCUAAUUAUAAUCUCAAUUAAACUUUGGAAAAAAAAAAUCAAUCCUAAAGAUGACCCAUAGGAAAGUGCUUUCUCUGAAUUGUUUCCAGAGUAUCUCUCAAAGUUGAGCUGAAGUUCUGACAGAAUUUUCCUCUUCUAAAUAUUAAUUGUGCUAACAUCUACAUCAGACUAAAUUGAAUAAUAGUAAAUGUCUUGUUUUGCUUUUUGAAGCAUAUUCCUUUUUUAAGGCAUAUUGAACACAGAUUGAAAUGUAUAAAACCAUAACUCCUGUGACUGCAAGGAUUAUUCAGUAUUGGAACUUAAUUUCAUGUUUACUAUUGUAACAGAGAUAGUCAUUGUUAGAUAAAAUGUUGGAUAUUUUGUAAAUAUAACUUAAAAUUGUAACCAG
rnacentral:lncRNA from 1 species